GGGUUGUAAACUUCUUUUAUACGGGAAUAAAGUGAGGCACGUGUGCCUUUUUGUAUGUACCGUAUGAAUAAGGAUCGGCUAACUCCGUGCCAGCAGCCGCGGUAAUACGGAGGAUCCGAGCGUUAUCCGGAUUUAUUGGGUUUAAAGGGAGCGUAGGCGGACGCUUAAGUCAGUUGUGAAAGUUUGCGGCUCAACCGUAAAAUUGCAGUUGAUACUGGGUGUCUUGAGUACAGUAGAGGCAGGCGGAAUUCGUGGUGUAGCGGUGAAAUGCUUAGAUAUCACGAAGAACUCCGAUUGCGAAGGCAGCUUGCUGGACUGUAACUGACGCUGAUGCUCGAAAGUGUGGGUAUCAAACAGGAUUAGAUACCCUGGUAGUCCACACAGUAAA
rnacentral:rRNA from 1 species